rnacentral:lncRNA from 10 species
AAUCAACACAGUGGAGGCGAGAAGUCUGGCCUUGCGCCGGCCGGGGAGCUUUUCGCCAAGGCUCCUGUGGGAUGGGAUAGCUUGUUCUCUGGGCUGCAGGAACCAAAACAUUAGACCACCCUUUCUGUGACCUUGGGCAUGCCGCCCUCGGUUCCGAGCCGCAAGUCUUUCUUUCGGGGAAAAUGAAAAGGGGUCAAGAUUUGGACCAGAUGACACCCAAUGUCCCAUUCAACGGUCGCAUUCUGUCAUCCACAGGAAUUAGUCCUGUAUCCGAAACAUUCUCUGGUAGUCAAAAGCUUAUAAGCACAAGAUGUGAAGGAGGCCACACUUAAAAAAAAACUUGAAAUGGAGUUUCAUUUGGAAGGACACUGACUAAGGAAAAACAGAGAAAAGGAUGAAACCCAAGCCAACUCUGCAACUCUAUUAAAAACACCAAGACUUCAAUAUAAUCUCCUUAAAGGGAGGCAGUGCAUUCUUCAUGGCUAGAGCUUCAGCAGCUAUCUAGAACCAUAUGGUGGAAGCCACUUACUGAGAACUGUGAAACAAGAGCCUGGGUCCCUGACAUAUGAAGCCACCAUACCUACCUUAAAGUGUCUUUCACUUGAGGGAAAAAUACAUCUUUCUUAGGUAA